rnacentral:rRNA from 1 species
CCUACGGGAGGCAGCAGUGGGGAAUUUUGGACAAUGGGCGCAAGCCUGAUCCAGCAAUGCCGCGUGAGUGAAGAAGGCCUUCGGGUUGUAAAGCUCUUUUGUCAGGGAAGAAACGGUGGGGGCUAAUAUCCCCUGCUAAUGACGGUACCUGAAGAAUAAGCACCGGCUAACUACGUGCCAGCAGCCGCGGUAAUACGUAGGGUGCAAGCGUUAAUCGGAAUUACUGGGCGUAAAGCGUGCGCAGGCGGUUUUGUAAGUUUGUCGUGAAAUCCCCGGGCUCAACCUGGGAAUGGCGAUGAAGACUGCAAGGCUAGAAUCUGGCAGAGGGGGGUAGAAUUCCACGUGUAGCAGUGAAAUGCGUAGAGAUGUGGAGGAACACCGAUGGCGAAGGCAGCCCCCUGGGUCAAGAUUGACGCUCAUGCACGAAAGCGUGGGGAGCAAACAGGAUUAGAUACCCUGGUAGUCCACGCCCUAAACGAUGUCUACUAGUUGCCGGGUUUUAAUAACUUGGUAACGCAGCUAACGCGUGAAGUAGACCGCCUGGGGAGUACGGUCGCAAGAUUAAAACUCAAAAGGAUAGUAGGCGUGAGAGAGCGACGACGACGACGACGGAGGAGG